AGUCACUGACAUUAGAUACCCCGUAGUCCAGGGUGUAAACGCUGCGGGCUUGGUGUUGGGGGUCCUUUGAGGGCGCCCAGUGCCGGAGAGAAGUUGUUAAGCCUGCUGCUUGGGGAGUACGUCCGCAAGGAUGGAACUUAAAGGAAUUGGCGGGGGAGCACCGCAACGGGAGGAGCGUGCGGUUCAAUUGGAUUCAACGCCGGACAACUCACCAGGAGCGACGGUUACAUGAAGGCCAGGCUGAUGACCUUGCCUGAUUUCCCG
rnacentral:rRNA from 1 species